rnacentral:lncRNA from 1 species
UUGUCAGUAUCCAUGGUGUGUAUGUAUUUAUACAGAAAACACACACACAAAAGCUCCUUGCAAUAAAAGUGUUUUAGAUACAGUGAGAUUGGCCAUUAAUGCUAAUUUUUCGCCUGUUCCCUGCUUUCAAAUGCAGUGGGAAGAUGGUUCUUUUCUUGUGUAUGUGUGAAGGGGUGAGCUUUGAGAGGUAUAAAGGUGAGGCCCAUUGACCAAGCAGCAAACAGCUCCAUCUCAGGCAGUGUGGAGGUGGGGUGAGUCAUUCUACAUCCUGUGUCCCUUGGCCCAACAUCCCAUAUCAGGAUUCCUGAAAUACCUGCAAGGUCUUGAAAAAUCACAGUCAAGGACAUGACGCAAAUUCUUCCCAUUGGUAUUUAGGAAGAGACAUCUACUACCAGGUGGUUCCUAACCACAAACAGGCUGGGAUAUAUUUAGUUUGCACAGGUUCUAACCCCUAUCUAACUUGUAGUACAGGUUCAUGCCAGGCAAUUCGUUAAUUUCACCUACCCCCCCCAUCUUAUGUGACUGAAUUUUUGAAUCCCACUUAUUCCUCCUCUUUCCCCACCCUCUCCCCCACCCUCUUUUAUGUAGUGUAUGACUAUGAUUGCUAAAUUUACUUUUUCAGUAAUAGAUACAUCAGAUAAUAAGGCAGGACUCAAACUCAAUUAGAAAAACAUGAACUUAUCAGAUAAAUAGAGUAAUAGAUGGAACUUUGUGUCUACCCUUUGAGAGAGGAUGAGACAUUUUCAUUUCUAUUCGUUGUAGUUGUGUGAUAGAUGGAGAAUGUUGUUAUUUUCCUUGUUGGUACUAAGCUUGUGUAUGAUAAGAAGUGUAUAUAUGCAUAUUAGAAGCCAAAGAAUGGACUGUGCACCUCUCCUGUCAUGUGUCCUAUAUUGAAGGGGUUAAAAAGCUAAGCUAUAUUUUCUAGGCUGCCUUUAUGGUAGGUCCUGGAUAUGACGAGGUCCUCCAAUCCAAUGCAAUGAGACAGAACCAAAGUGAGGCAGAGGCCAUGCUUCUGAAAUACUGGGGAGGCAGUUGAUCUCUCUUCUCAACAUCAGCCAUGCCCAAGUGUCUCGUUAAGUUGGUCAGUAUUGAGAGGAACCCCCUGGUUUGGGGGUCAGGCACGGCACAUCGUCCUGGAGCCAGUGGAGAUAGCAGUUUGCCUAUUCAGUCCAUUCAACAAAUGCUGACUGAGCACCUACCCCAUGCCGGACACUUCCAGCUCCACGGGAUGUCCAUGAACAGAGCACACCAUGAUCCCUGCUUUUGUAGAGCUAACCUGCCAACAGUGAGUGAUUCUCUGGUCUGGUGACAUUGUUUCCUUAAUAGGGGCAGUGAUAGGGCAUUCUUGGUUGGGGAGUUCCUGCUGGUAGGGAAAAAUAGCAGUUCCUAGCUAUAUGCAUGACUCUGGAAGUCAUUUCAGACAACUCCAUUGAAAGGCUUUCUUCAAUCCUUCCAGAGAUGUACAAGUUAAAUAACACCCUAUAUGAAAUUCCUUCUUGCUUAAGCUAUUUAGAGAGAAUUACAUUCUCAGGAAACAGACACUGUCCAAUACCAACUAUCUUGGAGUGCUUAUUCAUUCCCACUUUGGCCACCUUGAAAGCCCCACUCAUUCUUUAAUGCCAACCCACCGAAAAUGUCAGCUCUGACUCUCUGACCAUUGUCUGUCCCCCAUGCAAUUAACCCCUAUUUCCUCUGAGCUGCCACAGCACCACAGCAACUUGUAAAUGCUUCCUUUACUGGGCUUAUCAAGCUGUGUGACUUGGUUGCCUCUCGUGCUCUCCUCCUAUUGUGCAUGUGACACAUAAAGGCAGGGAUUGGGUCUUAUUUACUUUGUCCCUCUGACUCCUGACAGUGUUGGCCAAAUGAGUCACCCACAUUUCAUUUGCUCAUAUACUAAUGAGUGAACUGCACAUUUCUGUAUUACCAAAGAUGUUUUUAACUGCAUUUAUACCAUUCUUUUCCAUAUAGAUUUAUAUGUACUGUUGUAAACAUUAUGCAAAAAAACUACCCUUGGAUUUUAGGUUUAGGAAUAACAUCAGAAAUUAGGUAGUCCAAACUCCUUUUCCAGGUCAGGAAUUUUAGGCCAAAACAAUUUGGUUUCUUGUUCCAUGGUGAGUGUUCUUUCGUUUUAUUCUACAGUUACUGAUCAGCUUGACCUUGAUCUAGUUUGUAAUGUCAGUGAAAACAAGUACUAUCUUUGAGGCUCCUUAGGGUUUCGCAUGCUUCGCAGGUGAGAGGGUAAUUGGCCUUCAAAGAGUUUCUCAUAAGUUCCCUAAAAAGUGCAUUUAUGGGACUUGAAAAACAAAGGCAGGGCAUUCUUCAUUUAGAGCAAGUGUUUUUGUCAACAAAUAGUUCUUAGAUACAAGACAAACUGUCAAAUAUUUGAUUUGUUUCCAUAAAUUAUGUAUUGCUCUCUUCUGCAUUAUAGUUUUCCUCUGUGAGGUACAAAAUGAUUCUUAAACAUGAAUGCAUGUGCUAUUAUUUAUAAAAUUGGAAUGCAAACGAGUUAGGCCAUCAACAGUGUAUUAAUAGAGCACUUCGUACAGAUUUUCCCUUCAGCACAUUUAUUGUAACCAGGUCCUUCCAUCUCUCUCCGAGGAGAAUGGACUCCAUGAGAGUAAGCCUCAUGGCUUCAUGGUGGUAGAUUUAAUUCCUAACAAGGUGCUUGGCAUAGGCUAUAUGUUUUAUGUUUGCUCAUGAAAGUUUGUGGAUGGAAAUACGCAAGCUGCAAGACAACCAGACUACUAAAUUUCCCAAAUUAAAUGAACCGAAACCAAUUUCCUUUAUCCCCUUAGACUAAGAAUUUAUUUUUUGUAGAAAUUGAUAGGAGCUUCCUACUAGUUUAUGGAUCAUCCAUUUCACUUUUACAAGUUCUUAGAGGUCUUUACAAUAUUUCAAGGAAGAGGAGAAUUUUGUUUUCUCUGUUUUAGUUCUUUGCAAAGGCUGCUCAGCUCUUUCCCCAAAUUGCUCCACACAGCAUGGAGUGUCUAGAGUACAGGCCUGGUGGCACUUUGAAAUGACCCCAAUUAACAAACUUGACAACUGCUUAAACAAAUACAGUCAAAAGUGGAAAAGGUCCAUUUUUAAGUGGUACUUCUGAGAAGUGUGAACUCAUACUAGAAAAUAAACUCACAUAAUCACCUACAAAUGAAUCAUCUUGAAAAUGAGUCCUACACAAGUUAGAUAUAAAACACUGUGGUUUUUCGCAGCGCACACACAUGUGAAUUCUGAUGAGUGUAAUAUGAUUCUGUUCAUGGUGACAGUCGUCGUUGAUGAGCAGGUGCUGUGAAUGAAGGCCAAUGAAUAGGAAAUACAAUUGUUCCAGGAUAGUUUCAAGUGAAGCGCUUUGACGGUGAUUCCUGCAUGCUUUAGAACAGGAAGAGUGAGCUGUAAGGACGUAUCUUGAUCUAAAUUCAAAGACAUUGCAAACUUAAGUGACAUAAUGAAAAACAGGAAUCAGAUUUAGUACUUGAGUACUUUGCUCGCUCAAUCUUUUUGUCUUAUUUCUCAGGUGAGUUGAAGAUAGAUAGUGGGUCAUUUCGGGAUGAAUUUUAUAUAUCUCAGGGAAUAAUACAACUCUUACAUCUCAGGUUAGCAAAAGCAAAAGGACAAUGUGAAUUUUUUUCCAUAAGAAUCUCGCCUUGGUUACACAUACAUAUUGACAAUAAAUCAGAGCUUCUCUAUCCUUUCAUACUCACUUUGGAGAACUAGGUCCUAUAAGCAAUUAAUGUGUUAACUUGAUUCAUUAAUGCAGAGAAUAUCCACAAUUUCCUACCUUGGAAGAGACUGAUUCUGUCAUUGCUUUAAUAGAACUCUGCUGGAAAUCAAACACAAUUUUUAUUCUAAGGAAUGAUUACUGUGUCUUGUUUAAUUCUCCCGUAACAAAUGUCAGCACUAAUGUAUUACAGAUUAUUCAGUCAAUUUGAUGGUUCCAGGUGAAAGAAAGGAACACAAAUCUCUUCUUUUAGUGUAAAAAGGGUCAGCCGGAUGACUUCCCCUGCAGGAGCCGAGACGAGGCUUGACAUGAAUCAAUCAAGAAGGCUCAAUUUUACAGUUAUAGUGCCUAAUGCCUAAACAUGAGCGGACGGGUGGAAAUUAGCACCCGAUUAUGAGCAUACAUGAUCUUCCCCUGGAAGACAAUAAUAUUGGCAUUAAGCUUCUCAAGAGGGAAGAUGCUGCUGGUUUUUAAUAUGUCUUAAAUUAUGUCAGGAAAAACACUGGAACAUCACACAAAAGCCACAGUCAGUGUCUAUUGCUAUCUCAUAAAGCUGGAGAUCUUUACAACAAUAUUGACACAGGAGCAGGCAAGCAAAUGUCAGCCAAUAUAACAUAUGAAAUACUUAACGUAACCAAUUUUCAGCUGUCAAUCAGCAGGGAAUAAUGACUGAUGCAAGGAAUCAAUACGCCACAAUUGAAUUCCAGCUCACAAACUUGUUUCGUUCUGUGCUAUAAAAGACUGUCAAAUGUCACACCCCAAGAGAUGCAACAGGAUUCCAAAGAUUUAUUUAUUUCAAGCUCUGAAGUCUAUUAGCAAUAGUGCUCCUUUGCUAUUGGAAAUAGAGCUUCGGUGACAUUAAAUUUUCAGAAAUGACAACUCGCUUUUCUGACAAAUUAAUGAUAGGACUUUCUUAGUCCCGUAUUUAUUUAUUUUUUUGCCAACAUGAAGUACAAUUAUACUCAACCAAUUCUUGGGAUUUCAGAAAGCAAAUAUUUGACAUAAUUUGUCAAGUAAACUGCUUACAGAACCAACCAUUCUUAAACAAGUUAUCCUAUACAUUGUAAAAAAGUGGAAAGUGCAUAAGACAAAACUUAAGCUUAUAAUCCAGACCUUAAUAUUAUGCAAAUUUGAUUGCAAAUUAAAUCUAUCAAAUUUUAUCUUUCUUGAAUAACAAUAUUAAAUUUUACUCUACUGCAUGGUUAACUUUU